rnacentral:rRNA from 1 species
GACGAACGCUGGCGGCGUGCUUAACACAUGCAAGUCGAACGGAAAGGCCCUGCUUUUGUGGGGUGCUCGAGUGGCGAACGGGUGAGUAACACGUGAGUAACCUGCCCUUGACUUUGGGAUAACUUCAGGAACCUGGGGCUAAUACCGGAUAGGAGCUCCUGCUGCAUGGUGGGGGUUGGAAAGUUACGGCGGUUGGGGAUGGACUCGCGGCUUAUCAGCUUGUUGGUGGGGUAGUGGCUUACCAAGGCUUUGACGGGUAGCCGGCCUGAGAGGGUGACCGGCCACAUUGGGACUGAGAUACGGCCCAGACUCCUACGGGAGGCAGCAGUGGGGAAUAUUGCACAAUGGGCGGAAGCCUGAUGCAGCAACGCCGCGUGCGGGAUGACGGCCUUCGGGUUGUAAACCGCUUUCGCCUGUGACGAAGCGUGAGUGACGGUAAUGGGUAAAGAAGCACCGGCUAACUACGUG